rnacentral:rRNA from 1 species
UACGUAGGGGGCAAGCGUUAUCCGGAAUCAUUGGGCGUAAAGGGAGCGUAGGCGGCUUGACAAGCCAGAGGUGAAAGGCAAUAGCUUAACUAUUGUAAGCCUUUGGAACUGUCAGACUUGAGUGCAGGAGAGGAAAGUGGAAUUCCUAGUGUAGCGGUGAAAUGCGUAGAUAUUGGGAGGAACACCAGUGGCGAAGGCGACUUUCUGGACUGUAACUGACGCUGAGGCUCGAAAGCGUGGGGAGCGAACAGG